rfam:Cricetulus griseus cell line CHO-K1, whole genome shotgun sequence.
GUUUGUAGUACACAGCUGCAUACAUUUGUAUUUGGCGCCUCCGAGGGAGGAACUGACGGGUUCGGACUCCCGACCGCGGCUCCAGGAGACGUCCUGGUAGC